CGGAUGUAGCCAAGGGGAUCAAGGCCAUG
rnacentral:tRNA from 1 species